rnacentral:tRNA from 1 species
GGUUGUAGCUCAGUGGUAGAGCACUUGCCUAGCAUGUGUGAGGCCCUGGGUUAGAGCCCCACCACCA